rnacentral:lncRNA from 1 species
CCAUGUCAAAAUUUCUCUUAUAAAGCACAUCACCAUUGAGGUAGAAGCUGCCUGACAAUCUCCUCAAAGUCUUCUUAUCUUUCACAGACACCCCGGGUGGGUAAGUCUGGUUCUGAAUGAAACACUUGAUAUCAUAAUACCAUGGUUUGUCAUCUUUUACUUCUUCUACUGCAAAUACAUGAGCUGGCCUGUCCAAGCGCAUCACGGUGAUAUUGGGGACUUCAUUCCACAAUUUAACCACAAUCAUUGAAGCAAGUGUAGAAAGAGCAUCUGC